rnacentral:rRNA from 1 species
CCUACGGGAGGCAGCAGUGGGGGAUAUUGCACAAUGGGGGGAACCCUGAUGCAGCGACGCCGCGUGGGUGAAGGAGCGUUUCGGCGCGUAAAGCUCUAUCGGCAGGGAAGAAGAAGACGGUACUUGACCAAGAAGCCGCGGCUAACUACGUGCCAGCAGCCGCGGUAAUACGUAGGGGACAAGCGUUAUCCGGAUUUACUGGGUGUAAAGGGGGCGCAGACGGCAAUGCAAGCCAGGAGUGAAAGCCCGGGGCUCAACCCCGGGACUGCUCUUGAAACUGCAUGGCUGGAGUGCAGGAGGGGCAGGCGGAAUUCCUAGUGUAGCGGUGAAAUGCGUAGAUAUUAGGAGGAACACCGGUGGCGAAGGCGGCCUGCUGGACUGUGACUGACGUUGAGGCCCGAAGGCGUGGGGAGCAAACAGGAUUAGAUACCCUUGUAGUC